UGGGGAAUAUUGGACAAUGGGCGAAAGCCUGAUCCAGCCAUGCCGCGUGUGUGAAGAAGGUCUUCGGAUUGUAAAGCACUUUAAGUUGGGAGGAAGGGCAGUAAGCGAAUACCUUGCUGUUUUGACGUUACCGACAGAAUAAGCACCGGCUAACUCUGUGCCCGCAGCCGCGGUAAUACAGAGGGUGCAAGCGUUAAUCGGACUUACUGGGCGUAAAGCGCGCGUAGGUGGUUCGUUAAGUUGAAUGUGAAAGCCCCGGGCUCAACCUGGGAACUGCAUCCAAAACUGGCGGGCUAGAGUAGGGCAGAGGGUGGUGGAAUUUCCUGUGUAGCGGUGAAAUGCGUAGAUAUAGGAAGGAACACCAGUGGCGAAGGCGACCACCUGGGCUCAUACUGACACUGAGGUGCGAAAGCGUGGGGAGCAAACAGG
rnacentral:rRNA from 1 species